GACGGGUGCGUAACGCGUGGGAAUCUGCCCUUGGGUUCGGAAUAACAGUGAGAAAUUGCUGCUAAUACCGGAUGAUGUCUUCGGACCAAAGAUUUAUCGCCCAGGGAUGAGCCCGCGUAGGAUUAGCUAGUUGGUGGGGUAAUGGCCUACCAAGGCGACGAUCCUUAGCUGGUCUGAGAGGAUGAUCAGCCACACUGGGACUGAGACACGGCCCAGACUCCUACGGGAGGCAGCAGUGGGGAAUAUUGGACAAUGGGCGCAAGCCUGAUCCAGCAAUGCCGCGUGAGUGAUGAAGGCCUUAGGGUUGUAAAGCUCUUUUACCAGGGAUGAUAAUGACAGUACCUGGAGAAUAAGCUCCGGCUAACUCCGUGCCAGCAGCCGCGGUAAUACGGAGGGAGCUAGCGUUGUUCGGAAUUACUGGGCGUAAAGCGCGCGUAGGCGGUUACUCAAGUCAGAGGUGAAAGCCCGGGGCUCAACCCCGGAACUGCCUUUGAAACUAGGUGACUAGAAUCUUGGAGAGGUCAGUGGAAUUCCGAGUGUAGAGGUGAAAUUCGUAGAUAUUCGGAAGAACACCAGUGGCGAAGGCGACUGACUGGACAAGUAUUGACGCUGAGGUGCG
rnacentral:rRNA from 1 species